CAAGGCUGAAACUUAAAGGAAUUGGCGGAAGGGCACCACAAGGCGUGGAGCUUGCGGCUUAAUUUGACUCAACGCAGGAAAACUUACCAGGUCCGUACAUAGGGAGGAUUGACAGAUUGAUAGCUCUUUCUUGAUUCUAUGGGAGGUGGUGCAUGGCCGUUUCUAGUUCGUGAGUUGACUUGUCAGGUUAAUUCCGGUAACGAGCGAGACCUCAACUCCUAGCGAGCUCAGUACGUUGAAUAUCCGGUGUAGACUUGGGUACAACCAAGAUCCACGAAGGGAGUAGCUUGGUGAAGGCAAUCCGGGUAUGGGCCAGGACCGAGCAUUACGAAAUGAGCAUCCUAGGAGGACGCUUGGUGGGAAACCAAGGGAGGCAUGAGGCGAUAGCAGGUCUGUGAUGCCCUUAGAUGUCUGGGCCGCACGCGUGUUACA
rnacentral:rRNA from 12 species